UUGAAAGCAGAGACGCGGAUGUACGGGAGUCCAAAAAUAGAUUACAUACAUUUGUAUACACUAAGCUGCAGGUUCUGGACACCGUAUACAAGAAUAUACAGCCGUAUAUGGAAGUCGUAUACACUGCAUAAAGGCAGUGGAAAAUGGGCCAAGGGCCCAGAAAAUUGAAUUUGGGCCAAAAGCCCCAAAUUUGGCCUAACUUCUUUCUUUGUUUUAUUUGUUUUCUAACUAACUUUUUUUUUUAUUUAAUUUGGUUUA
rnacentral:lncRNA from 1 species